rnacentral:rRNA from 1 species
UUUAUUUUGAUAUUAUUUUUUAUUGUUGAAAAAAUUAAUAAUAAUUUAUUGUUAAUAAAAAUUAAAAUUUAUAAUAUUUUUAUUUUUAUUUUUUAGUUUUAAAUAAAAAAAAUAAAAUUUAUAUAUAUAAAAAUUUUGUUAUAAAUUAUAAUAGUUUAUUUAUUUGUUUUUUAUAAUAAAUAAUAGUAUUUUUUUUAUUAUUUUAUAAAAAAAAAUAAUUUAAUUAUAAUUAUUAAAAGUAAUUUUGUUAUUUAGAAUAAUAUAUUAAUAUAAAUAACAAAAAUAUUAAAUAUUUUUUAAAUUUUUUGGGGAUUUAAGUUAUAAUUUUUUGUGUCUGCUCAAUGAAUUUAAAUAGCACUUUUAGCGUGAUUAGUCAAAGGUAGCAAGGUAAUUUGUUUUUUUAUUGGAUUCUGGUAUGAACGGUUUUUUGGUAUUUUUUCUAUUAGUAAUAAAAAGAAUUUAAUAAUUA